rnacentral:rRNA from 1 species
AGAGUUUGAUCCUGGCUCAGGACGAACGCUGGCGGCGUGCUUAACACAUGCAAGUCGAACGGAAAGGCCCUGCUUGCAGGGUACUCGAGUGGCGAACGGGUGAGUAACACGUGGGUGAUCUGCCCUGCACUUCGGGAUAAGCCUGGGAAACUGGGUCUAAUACCGGAUAGGAGCCAUUUUUAGUGUGAUGGUUGGAAAGUUUUUUCGGUGUAGGAUGAGCUCGCGGCCUAUCAGCUUGUUGGUGGGGUAAUGGCCUACCAAGGCGGCGACGGGUAGCCGGCCUGAGAGGGUGGACGGCCACAUUGGGACUGAGAUACGGCCCAGACUCCUACGGGAGGCAGCAGUGGGGAAUAUUGCACAAUGGGCGCAAGCCUGAUGCAGCGACGCCGCGUGGGGGAUGACGGCCUUCGGGUUGUAAACUCCUUUCGCUAGGGACGAAGCUUUUUGUGACGGUACCUAGAUAAGAAGCACCGGCUAACUACGUG